rnacentral:rRNA from 1 species
CCGUGCCCAAGAGAUCGGGAUAACACCUGGAAACAGAUGCUAAUACCGGAUAACAAUAGAUGAUGCCUAUCAACUGUUUAAAAGAUGGUUCUGCUAUCACUCUUGGAUGGACCUGCGGUGCAUUAGCUAGUUGGUAGGGUAACGGCCUACCAAGGCGAUGAUGCAUAGCCGAGUUGAGAGACUGAUCGGCCACAUUGGGACUGAGACACGGCCCAAACUCCUACGGGAGGGCAGCAGCA